AUGCCACGGUGGCCUGGAGGUGCUUGUGUCACGCGCAGCUUGAGGAGCACACUGGGCAGGGCAGAGGGUCGAGGCCGUGAGGACAUCGCACGGUUCCACCGACCUGUGCGGGCACGAAGCCGGCAGCAGAAGCACUCAAAAUGGGUCAGGCGCCGAGGAUUGCGCAGGCGCCGUGCAAAGCUCGCGCCCCGCCCCACCUCGCGGCUUGGAGCGUGUAGUUCUCUCGCAGCUGCAGCGACAUCGUCGCGACACACGCAGCUCGUGGAGGUUGUGAUCCCUGACCUCCCAGUUCAGGGAAGUCCAACUCCUUCAGCAGCUUCUGCUUUGUGGCACUUAAGUUUCUGCACCGUGAUGCCAGCUGGUAUCCUCCAGGACCCAAGGCCCUCCUUCUUGUGUUAUUUUCAAAAUUAUGUUCAUGCUAAUCACCCGGAAGGCUCCAGACUGUCUGCUGAUGGAUGGCACUCAUACAUGGCAUGGAAAAUCCAGUGGCGCUGAGCCUCUGAGCCACAAUCAUGGCUGGAAAUGUAGGAGAUGGGCAAAGAGUACUCAGAAGUGUUAGAAGGAGUCCUUCGGGAGAAGCAUUUGUGGCUGAGAGAUGCGACCCUCACUUGUCAAAGGCCUGCUUCGCCAACCAGCUACUGUGUGCCUUGGGCGGGCCCUGGCCUCACCUACAGAAUAUUGGUUUUGUCCUGUCCUCAAAACUGAGUAAGAUAAGUAUGGCUGAGAUGUUGUGUCUCACCUAGGCAUGGUCUUCUUAUUGAUUACUGCUUGAUUCAAAGAUGGUUUAUAAGGUUCUCAACCAAUAGCAUUGCAGACUCCAUGGGAUUUGUCAGCAGCUUGCUAAAAGGCUAAAAUUGCCCCAUUUACCAAUUCAUUCACCGAAACAGGGAAUGGUUAUUUUAAACUUUUAAUUCACAAGCAUAGGGGUUUCUGAAAGCUGAUAAAACAACCCAUUAGGUGAAACUGAUAUGGGGAUCUUUGCUGGCUAAGAGGAAGACUCCAAAGGAAUCAGGUUGGAGCUACUGAUUUUCCUAUUAAGCAAGUGACUGAGGAUUGGGAGAGAAAGAGAGAGAGAGGCCAAGCACCGAGCUUUUACAUAUAAAUAAUUCAACCAAUAUUACUUGAUCAUUAGAUACGCAUUGUAUAUUGGGGUUUAUAGUUAAAAAAAAUCCAUGCCUUUCAAAAUCUUCCUUAUUUUAACAAGGAGAAGAUUUCUGCAGAGAAAAAUAAUAGAAUAUUAAGAAAUUACAUUAUAUUCAGGAUGGUUUUUAUUCAGGGAGGCUGGGAUCCUUCUAUACAACUUACCCCACACCCCUUGGCUUGGUAGGUGAGCUGUGCCCAGUUCCAGCUGUUCUUCUGCUUUUAUUUGUUACUUUUAUUUCUCAUCAGCUUCAAUUAUCAACUGUGCCACUGAUUCUCCUCCUUACCCAGCUCAAUGCUUUCCUUUUCUUGAUAAAAAUAUGUAGAAAUGUCCUCUUUACUAGCUUGGAAUGAGAUUCAUAAAUGAUAUAGCAUACUUAUAAGCUUAAAAAAAAAUCCUGUGUGUGUGUUAGUUGCUCAAUUGUGUUCGACUCUUUGAGACCCCAUGGACUAUAGCCCACCAGGCUCCUCUGUCCAUGGGAUUCUCCAGGCAAGAAUACUGGAGUGGGUUGCCAUUCCCUUCUCCAGGGGAUCUUCCAGACCCAGGGAUCAAACCCAGGUCACCUGCAUUGUAGGCAGAUUCUUCACCAUCUGAGCCACCAGGAAAUCCUUAUUUACUUUUAAACUUAAACAAACAAAUGAACAAUACAACGCAGUACAGUAAUUUGACUAAGGGCAGGAGGCCUAGAGCCAGCUUGCUCAGGUUCAAAUCCAGUGUCUGCCAUGGGACCUUGGACAAGUUACCUGACCUCUCUGUGCUUUAGUUUCUCCUUUAUGAGAUGGGGGUAAGAAUACCCAUCUCAAGGGGUUAUUGUGAGGAUCACAAGUGAGUCAUAUGUACAGCUCUUAAAAUACAUAUGGCACACAAUAAGCUCUCUGUUACCUCAUAAUGUCCUCGGUGAGAUAUAAGGAAGAAAUAAAAGUAGUUUAUAAUAAAAUAAUUUAUAUUUUAAUAUAUGAAUGUUCAGACAUGAUCACAUUAGCAAAACAAAUGAAAUAGUCAGACUCUUACUCCAAUUCAUAAGGAGUAAGUUUUUAUUUAAGUAAGAUAUUCAACUGAGUAUUGUUGACAUUUGAAAGGAUAUUUGGCUUUUGAAGAACACCUAACUCACUGUAUCCUCAUACGUAUGUCAAAUCUGUGUAACCUGAUGGCUACUAACACAAGUGUACAAAAGACUGAUUCCAUAAGCCAGCCUUCCAGUGCUAUUGUGAUUUUCUGAAAUGGUAACUUGUUCUUUAUAAACUUCUAAACAAAAGAGAUUUAUAGGAUACAUUCGGAAGUAAUGAUACUUUAAAGUAUAUUAAAGCCAUGCCAAAAAUACUUUGUUUCUAGACUCAGGUAAAAAUAUACUAUUCAUCUCUAUGAAUAUCUGUUCGUAAACUGGGCUUCCCAGGUGGCCCAGUGGUAAGGAAUCUGCCUAGCAAUGCGGGAGACACUGCAGACUUGGGUUCCAUCCCUGGGUUGGGAAGAUCCUUUGGAGAAGGAAAUGGCAACACACUGCAGGAUUCCUGCCUGGAGAAUCCCAUGGACAGAGGAGCCUCGUGGGCUAGGGUCACAGAGUCAGAUACUGUUCACUGCUGUUGUUCAGCCUCUAAGUUGUGUCUGACUCUUUGCGACCCCAUGGACUGCAGCAUGCCAGGCUCCCCUGUCCUUCACCAUCUCCUGGAGUUUUCUCAAACUCAUCUCCAUUGAGUCAGAGAUGCUGUCUAACCAUGUUAUCCUCUGCUGCCCCCUUCUCCUUCUGCCUUCAAUCUUGAAUAGUAUAUAAUAGUAAUAAAUAAUAAAUAAAGUAAAGGUAAUUAUAUUGACUAGUGGAAAAGGUUGAAAAAAUAUUUCAGGUCAGGCAGAAAUUAGAGAUGAUGGCAUAUGCUUUGGAUGGAUGUAUUUUUUUUUUGAAUCUUGAAUAUUGACGUAUUUUCAUGUAUCACACUUAACUGAUAUGCAGUGGCUGAGGUUCAGAAAGUUGAGUUAUUUGUAUAUAUGUUUUACCAACAUGGCCCUAAAUCAGUAACACAGCUGAGGGUUGUGUUCAAAAUGUGAUCUUGAAAUGAUUUGCCUGCUUUUGGAAUAGGGUUGUUUCUGUCUGAACUGAAAGGAUCUAACAAAUUCAUAUUGGUUCAGGUUCACUAGUGGAGCUUAAAGGCUGCCCUCCCAGAGGGAUUGACAGUGAAGAGAAGGAAACGUCUUAAAAAGACAGGAAUAAAACUGUAAUUAUGGCAUUUCAGCCACCCAAGAAAGAGUCAGAGAUGUUUUAUGGAUGGUGUUAGGGUGACCCCUGGCAUACUACAAAUCACAGCUUUCCUGAAAGAUAGAUUGUGUUCUUGGAU
ensembl:lncRNA